rnacentral:rRNA from 1 species
GACGUAGGGCGCGAGCGUUGUCCGGAUUUAUUGGGCGUAAAGAGCUCGUAGGCGGCUCAUUGCGUCAACCGUGAAAACCAGCAGCUCAACUGUUGGCUUGCGGUUGAUACGGGUGGGCUGGAGUUCGGUAGGGGAGACUGGAAUUCCUGGUGUAGCGGUGAAAUGCGUAGAUAUCAGGAGGAAUACCGGUGGCGAAAGCGACUCUCUGGACGGCAACUGACGCUGAGGCACGAAAGCGUGGGGGAGCAAACAGG